rnacentral:rRNA from 1 species
CGAGUAGGCGGUUGUAUAGGUGUGGUGUGAAAGACAUGGGCUUAACCUGUGGGUGUCACCGCAAACGGUAUGACUAGAGAGCAGUAGAGGGGAGUGGAAUUUCCGGAGGAGCGGUGAAAUGCGUAGAUCUCGGAAGGAACACUGGUGGCGAAGGCGACUCCCUGGACUGCCACUGACGCUGAGGCGCGAAGGCGUGGGGGAGCAAACAGGAUUAGAUACCCUGGUAGUCCACGCAGUAAACGAUGAAUACUAGAUGUUAGCUGCUUUAAGCAGUUAGUGUCGAAGCAAACGCGAUAAGUAUUCCGCCUGGGGAGUACGGCCGACAAGGUUGAA